rnacentral:rRNA from 1 species
GACGAACCGAUCGAACGUUAUUCGGAAUCACUGGGCUUAAAGGGAGCGUAGGCGGCCGAUCAAGUCAGGGGUGAAAGCCCCCAGCUCAACUGGGGAAGUGCCUCUGAUACUGGUCGUCUCGAGGGAGGUAGGGGUGUGCGGAACUUCCGGUGGAGCGGUGAAAUGCGUAGAUAUCGGAAGGAACACCGGUGGCGAAAGCGGCGCGCUGGACCUCUUCUGACGCUGAGGCGCGAAAGCCAGGGGAGCGAACGGG